rnacentral:rRNA from 1 species
UACGUAGGUGGCAAGCGUUGUCCGGAAUUAUUGGGCGUAAAGAGCUCGUAGGCGGUUUGUCGCGUCUGCUGUGAAAACCCGAGGCUCAACCUCGGGCCUGCAGUGGGUACGGGCAGACUAGAGUGCGGUAGGGGAGAUUGGAAUUCCUGGUGUAGCGGUGGAAUGCGCAGAUAUCAGGAAGAACACCCGUGGCUAAGGCGGCUCUCUAGUACGGUACUGACGCUGAGACGCGAAAGCGUGGGGAGCGAACAGG